rnacentral:lncRNA from 1 species
GGACACAGCUUUCUGUUUAGUCUAGGGGAGUCGAGGGACCAGCGUUCCUGUUUAGUCUAGGGAGUCGAGGACACAGCGUUCUGUUUAGUCUAGGGGAGUCGAGGGACACAGCUUUCUGUUUAGUCUAGGGGAGUCGAGGGACACAGCUUUCUGUUUAGUCUAGGGGAGUCGAGGGACACAGCUUUCUGUUUAGUUAGGGGGGUCGAUGGGACACAGCUUUCUGUUUAGUCUAGGGGAGCGAGGGACACAGCUU